rnacentral:misc_RNA from 1 species
AAAGUCGUAACAAGGUUUCCGUAGGUGAACCUGCGGAAGGAUCAUUAUUGAAUAAACUUGGUUGGGUUUGUUGCUGGCUCUUAGGAGCAUGUGCACACCUACUCCAUUUUUAACCACCUGUGCACUCUGUGUAGACCUGAAUAAUUCUCGAGGAAACUCGGUUUUUGAGAAUUGCUGUGUGAAAAAAGCCAGCUCUUCUUGCAUAUUUCAGGUCUAUGUCUUCUACAUACUCCAUAAGAAUGUAUUAGAAUGUUGUCAAUGGGCCUUUUGUGCCUUUAAAAACAAAUACAACUUUCAACAACGGAUCUCUUGGCUCUC